AAAGAUGAAAAGCACCUUGAAAAGGGGGUUAAACAGCACGUGAAAUUGUUGAAAGGGAAGCGCCCAUGACCAGACUUGUGCCCGGCGGAUCACCCAGCGUUCUCGCUGGGGCACUCCGCCGGGUCCAGGCCAGCAUCGGUUUUCGCCGGGGGAUAAAGGCUCUGGGAACGUAGCUCCUCCGGGAGUGUNAUAGCCCUCUGCGUAAUACCUGGCGGGGACCGAGGUACGCCGUCCGCAAGGAUGCUGGCGUAAUGGUCAUCAGCGACCCGUCUUGAAACACGGA
rnacentral:rRNA from 1 species